CCAAUAGCGUAUAUUAAAGUUGUUGCAGUUAAAAAGCUCGUAGUUGAAUUUCGAGAUCAAAUUGUUGGUCGUGCCUCGGUACGUACUGGCAUUAUUGAUUUCUCCCUUCUGAAGAACCUUGAUGUCAUUAAUUUGGUGUCUUGGGGAAUCAGGACCGUUACUUUGAAAAAAUUAGAGUGUUUAAAGCAGGCUCUCGCUUGAAUACAUUAGCAUGGAAUAAUGAAAUAGGACGUUUGAUUCUAUUUUGUUGGUUUCUAGGAUCGACGUAAUGAUUAAUAGGGAUAGUUGGGGGCAUUAGUAUUCAAUUGUCAGAGGUGAAAUUCUUGGAUUUAUUGAAGACUAACUACUGCGAAAGCAUUUGCCAAGGAUGUUUUCAUUAAUCAAGAACGAAAGUUAGGGGAUCGAAGACGAUCAGAUACCGUCGUAGUCUUAACCAUAAACUAUGCCGACUAGGGAUCGGAUGAUGUUAAUUUUUUAAUGACUCAUUCGGCGCCUUACG
rnacentral:rRNA from 1 species